CUCGUCAUACGUUCUCCGUUGGUAUCGAAACCGGUUUCUAGCGUUUUAUGCCCGCAGACACGCCGCUGUGCCGAUUAAAACUAGGAGAAAUGUCAAAAGUAAGAUUAGAUUAAAUUUAAUGUACAGUUUUAAGUUUCUGAUGUUGUUUAUAAAGCGGUAUUUUUAAUUGCUUCUUUCUCACGCUAGUAUUUGACGGAAGGAAGAGGUGAAAGCAUCAAACCUGAUCUUCCCACCAUCCCGAUAAAGAAAGAGUUUGACGCAGAAUGAAAAUUAAAAAUUAUGAAAUAUAAUAUAAAAAAUAUGUAUGUAUAUGCCAUUUUUGUAAGUUGUAGUAUUACUAAUUACUGAUACUAUUACUACUAGUGCUUCUACAAAUUGCAAGGCAUCACUGAUAACAAUGGUAUCGCUAAAGUGAGGCCCCCUAGUGGCAUGUCUGCGGACUUACAACUCUAGAAACCGGGUUUCGAUACCCGUGGGGGCAGAGCACAGAUAACCCAUUAUGUAGCUUUGUGCUUAACUUCAAACAAACACGCUAAAAAAAGCUUAAGGUGUAUCCAUGGGCAGCCAGUAAAUGCAAAUGGAACUGGUGAUGAUUUUUCCUGGAGGCAUUCAUUGGAAGUUUGUACCUGCUUGGAUUUUAAGAAUCUUUGGGAAAGUUACCUUCAACAUGUAAGAACUGAAAUGGGUGCUGUUUGAUACCUUGAGAGGCAACAACUCUGGAUAGGUGAAACCCAUGUGAGGGAUUGAACCUCAGAUCUUUUUUUCCAGCUAAUAGAAUAUAUAAUUCAGUGUGAUGAACCAGUGGACUUCACAACCUACUGUUGACCAGUGAUAAGUUAAACAAUACCUGGUGAGUUAUUGAAAAAGUAAUCUUAGUGAUAUAAGCAUCUGGUCAGUUACGGGAGAGACUCUCUUGGUUAUUCUACAUCUGGUCAGUUAGAGAAGAGACUGUCUUGAUUAUUCUACAUUUGAUCAGUUACAGGAGAGACCAUCUUGUUAAUUGAACAUCUGGUCAGUUAGAGAAGCUGUCUUAUAUUGUUAUUGAACACCUGAUCAGUUAGAGAAGCUGUCUUACAUGGUUAUUGAACACCUGAUCAGUUAGAGAAGCUGUCUUACAUGGUUAUUGAACAACUGAUCAGUUAGAGAAGCUGUCUUACAUGGUUAUUGAACAACUGAUCAGUUAGAGAAGCUGUCUUAUAUUGUUAUUGAACACCUGAUCAAUUAGAGAAGCUGUUUUACUUGGUUAUUGAACACCUGAUCAAUUAGAGAAGCUGUUUUACUUGGUUAUUGAACACCUGAUCAAUUAGAGAAGCUGUUUU
rnacentral:lncRNA from 1 species